UCUCGGUCAAUUUAGUAAAUUGAAAUUAAAAUGAUGAGAUACCUAUAUCACACGCGUUAGAUGAGUGAUUUGCCACGAGUUGGGUUAAUUAGAAAGUGAUCCGUCAGUGUAUGAAAGAUAGACUAUGAUUUUCAAUCGCUGUUCAUGUUAUAAUGGCAUAAUCCAAAAUGAUUGUGUAAGUACUUGAACUUCAUUUUGUGCAAUCCAACCCAACCUCUACCUACUGUCUUGGCGUGAUCAAUAUUAACAUAGUAAUCACCUUUUGUAAAAAAUUAAUAGCGGUUUUAUGCCAUUCCAUUUUGAAUCAUCCUGUAUCUAACUAUUUAGGAUAGAAUAGUUUCGUUGCCUGUUUUAAAAAUUUUUCCAUUUAUCUAUAUUCGUCGGGCUAUACUAUAACUUAUGGAAGAAGUGAUAUAGAGUUCGCGGGACAAGCCCUGGAGUACUGAGGCUCGAGACUCGAGCUGAUUUAAGGACCAAAUUUUAAAGAAUCAAAAUAUUCAGAAUGGAAAAUGAGUCACAAACCAUCAUUCAUGUACGAACGUUUAGAAUUUCAGAUUCCAGGUGAAUCAAAUUGCAGGAUGAUUCAAGAUUAGCAUUGGUUCCAUAAACGAUUCAGGAUUCAAAAUGAGUGGACCAUCAAGAUUAAAGUUACCCAUGCGUUCGUUAAUGCCUUUGUGACAACUUGGAUCUGGUUUAUUAAACUUUUCGCUUAUUUUAGAGAAGAUGAUGGUAAUUGUUUAGAUAAGGUAAUUCCAGGAAAUAUUGUAUACGUGCCAAUUUGAGUGUCUCUGGAGAUGCUGUUUUUGUGGUUUGCUUGGUUACUAUGAAUUUGUAAUUACGCAUAUUAAGUAAGGAAAACCGUUUAAAUCCCAGAAGACGUGUAAAAAAGACACCUUUUGUUAGGUUCGAGGCCGAGUCAUUACAAGUAACUUUUUCCGUAAAAUUUUCGGAGGCAAGCCUGCCGUCUUCUCUUGCCGCCAGUUUUUGAAGCGAAGUUUUAUUCUCGUCCCUUUUUCUUAUCUUUCUUUCCUUUUUUUUAAAAAAGAAGUUCGGGGCCGAGUUUGCUUUCGUUUUGUGUAUUUAAAGAAAGCACGUGUACGAACAUUUUAAGUUACGUAACCUCGACGGAACGCGGACGGCUAUUUCAAAUUUUCGAUGAGUAUUUUGCGACAACGAGAUGUGAUAAUCAGCGUCACUACAACCGUUUCGGAGAUAGGAAAUAGAAAAACGUGUUAUCAGGUGUAUUGGUUUCCCGUAAUUUAAUUAAUGUUUGGUGUGAUCGGACUGUACUUGGAUAUUUUGACUCGAAUACUGUAAAUAUAAUUUUAAGAGUAGCUGUAAUGUUUGCAUUUGAACACCCACGUGGGUUUUGUUUAUGCGGUUGGUUGGUUUCAUGUGUAAUUGUAAAAUAAAUUUUAUUUAUGUAAAAUUCCGCGAGUUGGGUAUUCAUUCGGACCAUUUACUGACGAAAAGAGAAGUCUCAAUUACCUACGCUUAAUUUUAUUGAUUCGCGACCAAAGUUCAUUUUGAGUGUUUGUCAAAAUUUGGUAACAUACCGUUUGGAAUUUAAGGAUUUUGAUCUUGAUCUGCCUGAAAUCAUGAAUUAAAAUCAUUCUUGUGUGUCGAGUAUGUACCGAAAUAAAUUUUCACUAAAGAGCUAUAGCUAGGCUUGAAAUGCGUUAUAUUUGACCUGAAGUUCAAGCGUCACAGCUUGUUAAUUGGCGCCUAACGUGGGGCAUUGUAGUUAUCUUUGUGUAUGGUUCUUUUUGGCCGGAACCAAUGGACACAGCAAUAUUAUUCUUAUUGGAAUUGUGUUCAUGUAAAUAAUUCUGUUAAAUACACGUUUCGUAAACUGUUGGGAAUAUACAGUAGUAACUAAUAGGGCCCGUAAUACGGUUUUGAAUUGAUAUCCGGUCGGUUAUUGAGCUUUUUUGGUGGAAUACAAGAUCAUACUUUUAUUAGGACAAGGAGAAGCACAAACAAGUGACUAGGAAGGGAUUUAAUUUCAAAAGAUGGGGGACUACAGCAGGCGACAUCUAACGGAGCGAUUUUACAACACGUAGGUAUUACAAAUAAAAUGCCUACGAUACUUUGAUUUUUCUUACAGCCGAAUCAAUCCUUAGUAAGGACGACAGCAGAGUUAAAAUUAAUUGGUGCUGCAUGAUACUGGUACGGUACCUAUCGAAAACAACUGAAAUCGAUUUUUACAAAAAUUGUUUAUUACAAUUUGCAGUAAAAGUUACAUUAACCAUACAAAUAGAAUAACGCUAACUUGUU